GUGUUCGCUUCAGCAGCACAUAUACUAAAAUUGGAACGAUACAGAGAUUAGCAUGGUCCCUGUGCAAGGAUGACAUGCAAAUUCAUGAAGUGUUCCUUACUUUU
rnacentral:snRNA from 1 species